GGGUUGUGUUGUGGUUCAGUGGUAAAGCAUCUGCUUACCAUACAGAAGGUCCUAUGUUUGAUCCCCGGCAUGCCCA
rnacentral:tRNA from 1 species